GUGAUCCCAGGGACUCAGGAGUCAUGGCAGAGGAAUUUAUUGCUUAGCAACCCAGACAAAUGUCAAGAGUCUUACCAAAUGCAGAUGAUGCUCUGUGGAAGAGACCUGCUUCAAGUCAGGUCAAGUAAAAACAACCUUGCCAGCAAGAUCCAUCAGUGAGGUCACUGAGAGAAGAGGAAACAUACACAAAGCUGCAUGAAAAAGAUAAUUCACCUUAUCAGUGCAACAGAAGUUUCAUAACAACGUAACUCCAGCAGGACACCUCCAUAUGAAUGGCUUUCCAUAGCACCAUACUGGGCAGAUUGCCAGCAAGUUCUACCAGCUUAGCACCACAGUGACUUCUCUGUCAUCUGGUGAGCCUAUGAUCGCCAAUAAAGGUCUGGAUCUCAGCCUGGGCUCUCUUCCUUGGAUCUAUGCUGAACCUAACUGGAAACUGGGUGGCAAGAGUUGAUACAGUCCACACAGGUCGGCCUCCUGGGCAGAGAUCAGAGUAGGACAGGAUGAAGAACACAUCUGGAGGGUCAAAGAGAAGCUAUGACACAGGGCUUCUCAUCCUCAGACUUUUUUCUGAAGGCAGAUGAAGCACCAAACCUCGGGUGAGCCAAUUAAGAACAAAUGGCGCAGUUACAGAAGACAGGAUGCAACCCUGCCACCUAUCUCUCUCUUUCAGAUGGUAAUCGUGUACCCAUACCACAGGACACUCCCCUUGGGUGCAUCUGCCAAACUGGGAAAAGUGUCCGUGUGCCUAAUUCUUCCUGGUUGUGUGACAAGACCUCGGACUGAGCUGAGCUAAGGAGCAGAAAAACUGCAACAAUAUGAGGGAAAAGACAGAAGGCAGACUGUGACAAAUGAAUUUAACUGUACUACAGAUGAAUUAGAUAACCACAAUGAAGAAGAUGGAAAGAAAGUUGAUGAUCUCCAUAACUUUAGAAAAUGCUUUGGCUUAAUAAUGCAAGGCUAAGGACAAAAAAUAAGUAUAUAUAGACAUAAACUUUAGUUGAUACAUUUGUUUCUCAGAGGGGAAGGAGCCAGAAAUUCUGAAACUACUUUAUUUGUAUAUUAGGGUUGAGCAAGCAAGUAAAUAUGUUAGAAUAUAAUGAGAACCAGGUUUCUCGCUGUCAAUGAAAGAAGCUACAAACAACAAAAAAAGGAAGGAUAAAAUGAACCGUGGUGUUGUAUAGGAGUUCUAGUUACCAAUGUGGAAUCGUGGUUUCUUUAAAACACAUCUAUCUACAUAAGUAGACAUAGAAACAAAUACAGAUGUGUAUAAGCAUGACUUUUUAUACAUAUGUAUUUUUUAUCUCUAUCUACUGAGAAAGCCAAAAGCAGCAGCACCCCAGUAGUCACAAAUAUCAGUGGCAUCCAGAUUUAGAUCUAUGAAUAUAAUUUUUCAAUUAAAAAGACAGGGCUCCUUGGAGGUCUACUUGACUCCAGGGUGAGGGUAAGAAAAAUUUAGGAGAAGUCUGAAGUAUCUGUGAUGACAGAAAAAAGAAAGCACUUAAAAAAUAAGGGAUAGAAGAGGGGAAACAAAGAAAAGAAUGGAGCAUAUAAAAAACACACAGGAACCAACCUAUCUGGGCACAAUGGUGUGCACCUGUAGUCCCAGGCACUUAGAAGGCUAAAGUGGGAAGAUCCCUUAAGCCCAGGAGUUCAAGCCCAGCUUGGGCAACAAAGCGAGACCCCAUCUCUUAAAAACAAAGAAGCCAAUAUGAAUGGUCAAAGUUGAAAAAUAUUGAAUAAGAAAAUAAAUAAUGAUAUUGUUAGAUUAUAAUGAAAAUAAUCAGAUAAUAUCCAUGAGCUUACACUAAUGCAAAUAAAUUAAUGGAUUAAUAAAAUAAAUAGAGGAAAAUACCAACUCUUCAGAAAAAAAUACAAUUAAUAAAGAUAGAAGGAAUGAUAGAAAUAUGAUAUUAUUACUAGAAUCUCAAAGGGAUAAUUGCUCCAGGUAAGAUCCAGCAGUGAAUGUUCAAAUUAGUGGAUAAAAAAAUAUUUUCCGAAACAGGAUAUUUGCAUAGUCUCUAAGUGCCUCUCUCAAAAUAAUUAGGAACCACAAAGAGAUAAAUAGUAAAUAUACCAUGGAGAGGCUAGCAGAUACAACCUUAGUCAAGUGAUCAAGGUGAGCCUCACCAGCAAUGACUUAUGUGAUAUGCCUCCUUCCCCUAUAUGAUAUUACCAAAGAGUACUUCACUUCUGUACUAUUCUUACCACAUAAUCCAUAACCACUGCCUGAACAUGGGAAAACAUCACACAAAUCAUUUGGUGGACACUCUACAAAAUAAAUAAUCAGUAUUCUUCCAAAUAUCAGCGUCAUGGAUAAGGGAGCCUAAGGAAUUGUCAUAGAGUACCUAAAACCAAAGAGACAUGUCACAUAAAUGCAAUGUGGGAUCCUGAACUGAAUUCUGAAACAAAGGAAAGGUCAUUAGUGAAAGACAGUAUUUUACCAAUGUUAAUUUCUUAGUUGUGAUCAAUAUUCCAUGUUAGAUGUUAAUGUAAGGGGAAACUAGGUAAGAGUAUAUAGGAAUUAUGUGUAGCAUUUUUGCAACUCUUCUGUAAUUCUGAAAUUAUUUCAAUUUUUAAAGGUUUUACCUAUGAAAGGGAUAAAGGAUUUAGGAUUAUGGGUCAGGGACAGCCAUUAGAUUUUUUUAAUGAAUACGUUUUGUGUAAUUAUGAUUUUUGAACUAUAUGAAGCUAUUAAUAAUUUAGAACUAAAUUUAAUGUUUUAAAAUAAAUACAAAUAAAAGGAGGUUUUUAAAAAAAUUUAUACUUUAGUUUCUAAAUUGUAUACAGGUUUUUCACAUGGAAUAUGAUAAAAUAAUAUGCACUAUUAGAAAGAAAAUAUGUAAAAAGUAUAACAAAAUUAAAAGAUUUAUGUAGAGUUGGUGGCAGAAAGUAUUCAAGCUUUGAGACCUCAUAACAUCAAAAUGAAGUUUCCAUUGCUAUUGUUUGUGAAGUACAAAAGUACAUUACCAGCUAUGUCAGAAAUAAUUUAGAGAUAAUAGGAAUACCCUGCCUUAAUUAAACUCUUAGUAAAUGUUCAAUGAAUGAGUCACUGUCAUGUUUCUCUGUCUCUUCUACAGACCUCAGUGGACUUGUUCCAAGGAAAAGGAAAGAGGGAUGGAGCAUGGUUUUAUGGCAGCCUUUCCCCAGAAUGAAAUAUACUUUGAGCACAUGAGCUCAUGAGCAGGAGAAAACUGAUCGGAAGGACAUGAUGGCCAUACAAACCUUGUCCUGCAAUAUUCUGCCAGCUUUUUCUCAAGAUGCAUAGAAACGUGAAGCAAGUGACAGCCACAUCACCAAUUUUAUCCAUAAUUACAAAAUGCAGCCCUAUUUCAGUGAUGUUCAAAGGGGACAGGUAGAAUGGCAGUUAUGAAAGCCAGAGGAAAUCAAGAUAUUUGGCUUCUAUGUGAUCUUAGUGUUUAUUAAGAACCUCCACACAGACAAAAGAUGUAAAAGGCCUGAUCCUAGACUGAGGGAAUUCAUGAUAUUGUCUCCAAAUUGUGUGAGAAAAAUUUGUGAUCCAUUCAAGUCCAUUUAUUUGACUUAGCCUCACAGAUACUUCCUCAAUUUUCCCUUCCACCAAGUUAGGAUCAAUAGCAUCUCCUGGGCAUGGAGCUGUCUUGGCAGUCUCUGAUCACUGAGCUUUCUCAGGAAGUACUCUGUCUUUUUGAGCAGAAGGAUUUUUAUAUUAAGGGGAAAGGUGGCUUGUACAUAGCCAUGAAGCAUAAGGAAAGGAGAAAAGCUAAUAUAAAAAUGUAUUGUUGAGAUCACUGCUAGGGCAACAGAGGCUCAAUUCCAUUGACAUGCUGAGAAGUAUACAGAAGGCCUCCCAGAAUUGUUCAACUUAAUGCUCAAAUACAGCACUUCAAUAACAAUUUGAGUGACCUAGGCUUGCAGCUGACAUAGUGUCCAGGUGAUUGCCAGCUAAUCAAAGUGAUGAAAUUUAUCAAUCUGAAAUAAUUCACCUGAAGAUGUACAGCUAUAGUACAU
rnacentral:lncRNA from 1 species